rnacentral:rRNA from 1 species
AUUGAACGCUGGCGGCAUGCUUUACACAUGCAAGUCGAACGGUAACAGGGUGCUUGCACCGCUGACGAGUGGCGAACGGGUGAGUAAUGCGUCGGAACGUGCCGAGUAGUGGGGGAUAACGCAUCGAAAGGUGUGCUGAUACCGCAUACGUACUGAGGUAGAAAGUGGGGGACCUUCGGGCCUCACGCUAUUCGAGCGGCCGACGUCUGAUUAGCUAGUGGGUGAGGUAAAGGCUCACCAAGGCGACGAUCAGGAGCGGGUCUGAGAGGAUGAUCCGCCACACUGGGACUGGGACCCGGCCCAGACUCCUACGGGAGGCAGCAGUGGGGAAUUUUGGACAAUGGGCGCAAGCCUGAUCCAGCCAUGCCGCGUGUCUGAAGAAGGCCUUCGGGUUGUAAAGGACUUUUGUCCGGGAGCAAAUACCCAGUGCUAAUAACGCUGGGGGCUGAGAGUACCGGAAGAAUAAGCACCGGCUAACUACGUGCCAGCAGCCGCCGUAACAC